rnacentral:rRNA from 1 species
GAGGAAUAAGCAUCGGCUAACUCCGUGCCAGCAGCCGCGGUAAUACGGGGGAUGCAAGCGUUAUCCGGAAUCAUUGGGCGUAAAGCGCCUGUAGGUUGUUUAGUAAGUCUGUUGUUAAAGACUAAGGCUUAACCUUAGGAAAGCGAUGGAAACUACUAGACUUGAGUAUGGCAGGGGUAGAGGGAAUUUCUAGUGUAGCGGUGAAAUGCGUAGAUAUUAGAAAGAACACCAGCGGCGAAAGCGCUCUACUGGACCAUUACUGACACUCAGAGGCGAAAGCUAGGGGAGCAAAAGGGAUUAGAUACCCCUGUAGUCCUAGCCGUAAACGAUGGAUACUAGGUGUUGUGUAUACUAUACAGUGCCGUAGCUAACGCGUUAAGUAUCCCGCCUGGGGAGUACGCUCGCAAGGGUGAAACUCAAAGGAAUUGACGGGGGCCCGCACAAGCGGUGGAGCAUGUGGUUUAAUUCGAUGCAACGCGAAGAACCUUACCAGGGCUUGACAUACUGCAAAUCUUUUAAAACGAAAGAGUGCCUUCGAGAAUGCAGAUACAGGUGGUGCAUGGCUGUCGUCAGCUCGUGUCGUGAGAUGUUGGGUUAAGUCCCGCAACGAGCGCAACCCUCGUUUUUAGUUACCAAUUUAUUGGAAUCUCUAGAAAGACUGCCGGUGACAAACCGGAGGAAGGUGAGGAUGACGUCAAGUCAGCAUGCCCCUUAUGUCCUGGGCCACACACGUGCUACAAUGGCAAAGACAAAGAGUUGCGAACUCGUGAGAGUCAGCUAAUCUACUAAACUUAGCCUAAGUUCAGAUUGUAGGCUGCAACUCGCCUACAUGAAG